rnacentral:lncRNA from 12 species
UUUUGCCAGUUUUUCUGCUCCAAAUGCAUAUUCUCUUCCGUUUUCCCUCUCUCUCGUGACAUCCUUUCCUUCCUUUUUUAAGCACUCGUGCACAGUUUGCAGCUGAACUUGCAGACAGUCUCUGCUGCCCCUCUCUCAGCCUUGCUCCACCCGAGAUAACCAAAUCCAUCCUGCAGAGCUGGGCUCUUUCUCCACCAUCACACAGUACAUUAAUUCACUCAACACAUUUGUUUGCAGCUGUCUUCCAUCACCAACCCCACACCCAGCUGGCUCCUCAGAGCAGAGGGACAACUUCAUUUUCCACUAAUGAAGGUAUAAAGCAGCUGUGCAGAAGGCAAGAUAUGGACCCCCAGCUGCUGCACAACUGGAUGUGCCAAACCAGGAAAUGCCCCAGAUGCUUGGCUGCACACUACCCACUGUAUCUGCCCCACCUCAGCAUUGUGGGAUCCUUCCUUUGGCAGGGAGCUGUGCAGAGGGCCUGUGAGCCACCAGCCUUCUCCAGCCACGUGCACAGGAGACACAUCCUCGCUCUGACUCUGAGAAGACCAAAAACCAACGAGGUCAAACACUGAAGGUGCACAAUACGUCCGCAGAGCUCCUCCUGCCCCUACAGGAAUCGAAGGCAAAUUCCUACAACAGCAAAACCAACGAAUCUAAGCUGCGCGGAUAGCUUGAGAGCCAGGGUUAUAAAACAAAUUCAAGCAUUAAAUAUUCUUACCAAAGGCAAUCUGGGCUCACUGUGUUCUGUUUUUGUUAUGUUUUCCCCCUGUUUUAUGCUGCUUUAACCUUCAGUUGUUGCUGUUGGAAUCCUCUUUGCGCUGUUCCACU